rnacentral:rRNA from 1 species
AACAUGAAUUUAAAUAUAAUUAAUAACAUUUCUCCAGUAAAGAAAUAUGAUAACGCGGAAGCUUUAAAAAUGACCAUUUUAACUGAAAAUAGAAAUAAAUCUGGUAUUUAUCGUUGAAUAAAUAACCUAAAUGAAAAUACAUAUGUAGGUAGUGGGGCUAAUUUAGCAAAGAGAAUAGGUGAUUAUUAUAAUGAAAGCGAGUUAAUAAGAAAUUCUAGACCAAUACAUCUUGCUCUGUUAAAAUAUGAACAUAAUAAUUUUACUCUAGAGAUUCUAGAGUAUUGCUCUAAAGAUAUAUUAAUUGAAAGAGAACAAUACUAUCUUGAUUUACUUAAACCUGAGUAUAAUAUAUUGAAACAUGCUUAUUCUUUGUUAGGUUAUAAGCACAGUGAAGAAAAUAUUGCAAAGUUUAAAUUAAAAAAGAUAUCCGAAGAACAUAAAGAAUUAUUGUCUUCUAUUCAUACAGGAAAGAAUGUUAGUCAAGAAACAAGAGAUAAAUUGUCUCUUGCUACUACAAAAUAUAAAAAAAAUAAUCCUCUUACAAUUGAAGCUUUAGGUAAUAUUAGAGCUAAGACUAUUGAGCGUGAGGGAGUAUCAGUUACUGUUUUUAAUACUGAAACUAAGGAAGUAAAAUAUUUUACUAAUCAGACAGAAGCAGGAGCUUUUUUAGGUGUUUCAAGGCAAGCUGUAUAUAAUGCAAUUAAAAGAGGUAAACCUGUUAAAGGUGUUUACCUAAUAUCAGAGCUUGCGCCUAAAAAUAAAAAUAAAAAUUACUUUAGUUUCGGUAAUACGAAACCAGGAUAUCUAUUCAUGUGAAUAAAUAGCCUGUUGUCUAAAUGGAUAGUUUAUAGUAUUAAUAUUAUUGUUAACUAUUUAGGGAGAAAUAUCUUUGCCUUAUUUAUAUUUAGUAAGGGUAAAGAUUCUUUGUGUAUGUCAAAAGGGAAACAGCCCAGAACAAAAGUUAAGGUUCCAAAAUUAUUGUUCAGUGAAAAACAAGAAGGUUUUUUAUUGAGUCGACAAGGAGAUGGGCUUAGAAGCAGCCAUAAUUUGAAGACCUCGUAACAGAGCGCUUGUUAAAUCUUUAAAGGCAUCGACAAUUUAACGGAUCUAAACAAUAUACCGAAACUUUGUCCUCAUUUAACACUAUAUACUUUAUUUAAUAUGGGAUUUUUAACACUACCUUCGAUACUUUUUUUAUUACUUAUCCAGGCGGUUUCACCAGCAGACCUAAAGUCUGCGGAGGCCUGCCUUUAGGGUCUGGACCGAAAGGUUAAAUUAAAAUAAUAAAAAAAUUACAGAGCCAGAACGCAUGCAGGAUUUGCAGCCAGAAGUGGUGGAUCGAUGGGUCUAAAAUUUAUUAAUAAUAUAGGGUUAAUGCAGGGGUAGCAGAACGUUGGGUUAUAUUAGAUUUUGAAUUUUUUAAAUCAUAAUAAUAAUAAACUCAAUUGAUAAUGGUGACAUGAGUAACGAAAAGAUCUAAUAUUAUUGGGGAGUAAAUUCCGACAAACUAAAAAGAUGAGGAAAAGAAACUAUAUUCAGAACUCGCCUAAAGCUUAAGGUUACCAGUCAAACGGCCUCUAAGUUUAUAACCUGAAGGUUAAUACGAUGAGAUAAUUACUAAAAACAACACUUUGUCUAUGAUUAUUAAGUGUAAAGUGUGCUGGAAAAAAGUAAUUCCUAUUUUUGUCCAGGAACCUUAAAUAAAAGUAAGGGUAACUGGUUUCUUCAACAAACUAAGUAGAUGAGAAGAUUGUACGAUUCUUAAUAAACUAAAUAGAUGAGGGGAUCGGAAAUAGAGCAGAUAGAUACCGUACCUGGAGACUACCACACAAGGAAGCUAGUAGAGAAUACGAAGGCGUAAGAGAUAACAAUCAUAAAGUUGGGGGGGGGUUGGCUCUCCUCGCAUUGUGAUAAAGAGCCAAACUCCGGGAAAAUCCUAAAGUUCUAAUAACCAAGGUAGUAAAGAAAACUUUACUACUGGCCUAACUAAUACUUCAGGGUAUGGUAAAAUCAUUAGAAAUUCUAGUAAUAGAAAUGGAUAAUCGCGGAUCUAAAUCAGUAGUAGUUAAUAUUUACUCUGCUGUAAAAGAGCAACGAGUAGACGGUUCUUCAAUACUUGAAGUAUUGUAAGGUGUACUCUAGUCAUCAAGGAAACUUGGUUUUUAACAUUUAUAAAAGUUCCAGUUAUUAUUUCUGUAAUAUUGGUUUUUCUAUUUGCAAUCAAACACUACCGCCUUAGGUGUUUCUAAUUUUUGUUCAGACGGCGGGUUGUCGUGCAACCAAGUAGUGCAAGUUGGGUUAGCACCCCUUUGUUACUGCUCCGAAGGGCUAAUUAGUAAAAACCUAUAGGUCUGGGAGUCUUUAAAGUUAAACCUUGGAUAAUAAAUAUGAAAUAAAAAAAAAAUUAUACUUAUCGAUUGUCCGCCCCUAAACAUGAAAGAUUCACAAGAUUUUCUCCCAUUUAUACUCCGUAUCUUAUUUAUCAAGUUAACAGUAAGAAUGAAGGAUUUAAAUGAGGGAUACAGUGAGAGAUAAAAGGCCUUUCGUUGUAUCUGUGUUUAAUUGAACUUAAACAAGGUUCAAAGGAUAAUGUAGUAAAGUACACGGUCAUUUGAAAGAGUAAUUUUCUUUUUAUGGAGUUACCUAUUAUCUUGGCUCCCACUUAGUGACUCAAUAAAUUUAUAAAAAGCUACAAAAAUAUUCAAUUCAAAUUUAAUUAAUCCCAGUUUUAUUUCUGGAUUUAUAGACGCAGAGGGCUGUUUUCAUGUUUCUGUUGUUGAGGAUAAAAAUCUAAAAGUUGGUCAUAGUGUGAGAGUAAUUUUCCAAAUUUCUUUGCACGAAAAGGAUAAAGCUCUUUUAGAUUUAAUCCUUAAUUAUUUUGGUGUAGGUAAGGUUAUCGCACGUAAAGAUGGUGUAUAUUAUUAUCAAGUUACCCAGAUAAAAGAUCUGUUGUUAAUAUUAGAUCAUUUAUCAAAGUAUCCUUUAAUUACACAAAAACGUACAGAUUGUGCAUUAUUCAAAGAAGUUAUUGAUUUAAUGAUAGAACAAAAGCAUCGGACUAUAGAAGGAUUAGGUAAAAUAGUCAAUAUAAAAGCAGCAAUGAAUUUUGGUGUACUAUCUGAAAAUUUACUAUCUAAAUUUAUUAAUGUAGAACCCGUUGAAAGAUCUUUAGUAAGAAAUGUAGAAAUUUAUGACUCAAAUUGAGUAAGCGGGUUUGUAGAAGGAGAAGGUUGUUUCUUCGUUAAUAUAUAUAAGAGAAAAGAUAGUGUGUUAGGUGAAGGAGUUAAAUUAGUAUUUAAAAUAACUCAAGAUAAAAGAAACAAUGAAAUACUUGCAUUAUUUUCAAACAUUUUUGGUUGUGGUAAAGUUUAUAAUCAAUCCUCUAAAGGAGGAGUACAGGACUUUAUGAUAACAGGUCUUGGAGAUAUUACUAACAAAGUAAUACCUUUUUUUUUGGCACAUCCCUUAAAAGGAGCAAAGUUAAAAGAAUACCAAGACUGAUGUAAAGUAGCAGAAUUAAUGCAGAAUAAGGAGCAUCUUACUAAAGAUGGACUCGAAAAAAUCAGAUCUAUUAAGUUAGGUAUGAAUUUUAAGCGUACGACGGCUCUGUCCACCCUAAUAGAAGAUUAAUCUUUAUGUAAGAUAAGCUAUUAAGAUAACAGUGAUAGUUGGUUUAUAAGCAGUUUAAAUUUUAUAAAUGUUAAAAUUAAAGGUACCACAUUAGCCUUGUCCUGUUGGCGAAUAUUAAAUAAGCACACAGGAUUAAAUUUGUGGACGAAAGGAACUCGGCAAAUUGAUACCAAAACUUCGGGAAAAGGUAGGCUCAUUAGUCUUGAUUAAUACAAGUAAAAAGGAAGAAGCAUAAAAGGAUGUUGUACGACUGUUUAAUUAAAACACAGCACUCUGCAAAAAGAUGAUAAAUCUAAGUACUGAGUGUGAUACCUGCCCGGUGCCGGCUGGUUAACGGAAAUAACUAGACUGUCGUAGGUUUGGUGUAGAAGGAAACCCCGGCUAAUGGCGGCCUUAUAACUGAGGGUCAGGCUUUCUUAGGGCCCUCAUUAAAUUUAGCUAUAUGCUGGAACAAAUUUUUGAAUUACACUGUAUUAUUUUUGCUUCCAGAGCUAGCUAAAGUACCAUACUUUAGCUUUAUUGCAAAUUAUUCCAUUCUUUUUUUUCCAGUAACAAUUUCUAGUAUAUGGUUUAACGUUUUAACGGACUAACAAUUAAAUUUUUAAUUUUAAGUGUGUAUAGCACACAAUAGAGUUUACAUUGUAGAAGUUCAUUGCCGUGCCAAUUUUUCUACGCUAGUUCGUUGGUUUAACGAUCUCUAUUUUUGGGCGCAAGCUCUAAUAUAAGUAUUUAUAAAUAGAAAAUGAAAAUAUUAAAUAUAAGAACACUAAAGAUACAACCUUUAUUAAAUUUAAUCCGGGGUUGUAUUACAAAAAAUGGAUUAGUUAGCAAUAAAUUUGGCGGUACUUUCGCUAGCUUACACGGUAAAAGUUUACAUACCAGUUCACCCCUUUUAUCAGAGGGGUCAAUUGGUCUAACGGUGUCGGCGAAUAAUACAGGUAAUCUAGAAUUCAAUCAGCAGGAAAGAUUAGAAAAGUUAGUUCAGGAUGAGAACUACAAAUAUUGAUUAGGAGGUUUUAUGGAGGGAGAAGGAGCUUUAGUAAUAUCUAUAGUGAAGAAUACUGAGUUGACAAAUAGAGUUGCCUUACAACCUGAGUUUAAUGUUGUACAACAUACAAAUGGUAUGGAAAUACUUCAUUCGUUCAAGAUCCUUUUUGGGAAUAAAGGAACAGUAACCAAAAAAUCCGGAUCCGCUAAUGUUUUAGUCUAUUCUUUGAAAGGUACUAAAAAUUUGAAAAAAUAUGUGUUACCUUUCUUUGCUAAAUACGUUGCAGUAUAUUCAAGUAAAUACAAAUCUGAAAUUUUUGAUACUUUCAGCUAUGUUAUUAAUAAAUUAGAUGAGAAUCAUCGUAAAGCAACUAGCAAAGAAGACCUUAUAGAAUUAAUUAAAUUGGUUUAUACUUAUAAUCCUGAAGGUAAGGGAAAACAAAGAAAAAGAACAUUGGGGGAAAUCUUGGAUUAUAUAAAUGAUCCUAACCAAUAAGUAAGGAACCACUAACUUACUCAUUAAUAGAGAGCUUAAACUUUUCUAAAAUCCUCAGAGACCAUACGCUAAACAAUCUAUUUAGAUUGAUGAUUUGGUCCAGCGGGCACUUGUUACUUUUUAAGAUGGUAACAAGGGAUAGUGAUAUCUUGCCCGUUGCCUAAGGUAGCGGAAUACCUUGGCCGUUAAAUGCGGUCUUUGCAUGAAUGGUGUAACGAUACAACAGCUGUCUCUAUGAUUGACUCUGUGAAAUUGGAAUAACUGUGCAGAUACAGUUUACCUCUAGUUAGACGAGAAGACCCUAUGCAGCUUUACUGUUACUAAUUAUUGAGUAUAAUAACAGCAAAUUUGAGAAGAUAAGGUAAUCGAUAGUAUAAAAGUGAAAUACCUUUAUUUGCUUAUUGUAUUAUUAUGGAAUAUUAUGUAUAUUGUCUAAUGAUAUAAGUGAAAUACCUUAUAUUGUUGUCAGUUAAAUGUAAAAGGAUCUUAAGUUAUCUCUUCAGGCGUUUUAGAAAGAAGGUUUAGGUGAAAUUAUGUUUAACUUGACGGUUUAUAUAUUAUAAACAUCAGACUCUAUGAUUUAUGAGAAGGGAUAAAAGAAGGGGGACGUUACUUAGAUGACUAAGAAAAUGAAAGAGAUAAACCCAACCCGGGAAAAAUACUUAGAAUUGCUAAGAGAAGUUCUUAUAAAAAAGAGAGAACAUUUGCUAGGAGACAGUUUUUUAAUUUUUAAGCUGUGUUGGUUAUAAUCCAACUCUAAAGUGAUAGUAUUGGCCCCUGUAUAGGGUAGGACUAAAUUAAUUAUACUUAAAAUAUAUAGUCUUCCAUAGAUCUAAUUUUAUUUAGCAUCAAAACUUGUAUAAGAGAGAAUCCUUCUAUUUUAAUUUUACCUUUUUAUUAAGCUCAAAGGUUAUAGUCUCUACAGACUCAUUUUCAUAAGGGCUGGUGAGGUAAUUUUUUUGAUUGGCAGGUCAAGUUGGUUUAGCAUAUACUAUGUAUAAAAUUAAACUGAUAUAACGAAAGUAUAAUUUAUAUAUAAGGUUAUAUGGUUUACAAUGUAAUAAAUAAAACUUAGAUAGUGAACUAUAAUAUUUCUAAAUCGCAUUUUAAAUAAUUAAAUUAUAAAAAAAAAAUAUAAAUGUUAACUAAAAUUACAAAUUUUCAGGGCGCAAGCUCUAGUUUUUUAAUAUCCAGUAUGCUACGCACAUCUUGCUGUCAGUUUUCAAGAAGUAAUCAUAUAGAUGCGAUAGAUCAAAAUGUUGUUUUUUGGAAUAAUAAUACAGAUAAAUUUUUUCAAUGGUUUGUAGGAUUUUCAGAGGCUGAGUCUUGCUUUAAAAUAAAACCUAAAAACCGAAAUGGUAAAUUACAUAGUUUUUAUUUUGAAUUUGAAAUCCAUCUUCAUAUAGAUGAUAUCAAGCUUUUAAGAUUCAUAUGUGGUACUUUAGGUGUAGGUAAUGUUUAUGCAAGAGAAAAAAGUAAUUCUUGUAGUUUUAUAGUAGGUAAUGAAGAAGGUCUUCGUACUUUAAUUAAUAUUUUUGAUCGUUAUAUUUUUAACGGUAUUAAGUUAUUAGACUAUAUAGACUUCAAAGAAGCUUUUUUAAUUUAUUUUAAUCGUAGCGGUACAUUGGAUGAUAAUUUAAUUAGCAGUAUUCUUAAACUUAAACAAGGUAUGAAUAAAGGUCGUGUUGAUUUUAGUUUGCCUAAGGAUCAUAAGAUAAACAUUACCAAAUAUUGACUACUUGGAUUGAUUGAAGGUGAAGGUUCAUUUAGUAUAGCUAAAAGUAAAUUAAGACCUAAUUUUCAAAUAUUGUUUACUGUAGCUCAGAAACCUCUUUUAGUGGAAAUAAGAAAAUAUCUUAUAAGUAAUUUAGGUUUUAAUAGAUUUUCAUUAUGGAAAUUAAAUAAUUCCUCUCUUAUUGGAAUUUUUGAGAUGAAAGCUAAGGGUAAUUCUAAGCCAACAGUAAGUUUAGAAAUUCGUAAUGUCCCUCUAUUACGUAAUUACAUUCUUCCUUUCUUAAAAAGUAUGCCUUUCAUAUCUAAAAAAAGACAUGACUUUAUGGAUUUUUUUCUUAUAUGUAAUGUAUUAUACGUAGGAGGGCAUCUGCAGGAUAAUAAAAUAAAGGAUUUAAUCUUAAAGGUUUCGUCUGGUAUGAAUGACUUUAGAUUAUCUACCUAUAAAGCAAGUUCUAAGGAGACGGCUUUAACUUAUGAUGAGCUUACUAUUUUAAAAAAUUUAGGUAAUUCGGCUAUUCAGCCAAAUUUAUCUUUAGACCUUGAUAUAUUAGAGGAUAAUUCUUCUUUGGAUAUGGGGGGUAUUUUUAAUAAUAGUGUAGUUUAUCUUAUUAUUAAGCCAAAUGCUAAAGAACUAGUUGUAGGUAGUUUAAAAGAAACUUCGGAUAUAUUAGGUAUAAAUAGUGAUGUUUUAAGUAAACUAUUCAAAUCUCUUCCUGCUAACUCAAAUGGUGUGGAAAUUAACAGAUAUAUUGUAAGGAGAGUAAAAGUCUUUUGUGAACGUUAGCUUACAAAAGACUAAUGUGUCGAUUAAGAUUAAAUAAAGUAUAAUUAAUUAUGGUUUACAGUGCUAUUUUAAGGGAAUUAGACAAAGUUACAACUGAAUAAUUCUUAGUUCGCUUUAGAAAAAUUAGGUGAAAACGGUUAAAGAACAAAACCUAGUUCAAGACCGUCGGCAGUUGUAAAUGUCGCUACAGACUGGUUCGCCAGGGUUAGGCUGAAAUGUCUGUCCAAAUGUACAGUCGGACGAGAUACGAUAGUUAGUUAUAGGCGGCGGCUACGCCACCGUAGCACAAAAAAUUGGUGCUAGCUCUCGCAAGGAGAUAGGUAAUAUUAAAGUUUUAGUAGGAUCAGGUAGCAUUCUUGUAACCUGGAGGUUAUGGCUAUCUUAAUUUUAUUUAACAACUUUAAUGGCCCUUUAAGCAAAUGAAGGGUUUAUAUGCUCCUUUCCCUUAUCCCUGCCGCAAGCUCUGGGGGGGAUAAUGGAAGAUAGAUGAAACAAGUAAAUAUGUUUUAUUUGUCUACAUCUCGUUGUUAUGCGGGGCACAGACCCCAUAAAGAGUAGAUGGGAGUGUCUAAGGAUUGUGAUGUUGGUUGCGAAAAAUUGUGUUUUAGUUUUUUAAUCACGAAUCUCGGCGCAAGUAUACUUCGUAGGGAUACGCAGCUAUUAAUUUUUGGUAUAUUUUACCCCUUAAAGCUAGAGUUUAGCCUUAAGGGGGGGUAAAAAAAAAUAAUUUUUGUUUGCAUGUAUUAUAUAACUAAGUUGUAUGUAAUCGUUUGCUAGUACGACACGGAAAGGCGUACAUAUUAUUGAAAGGGUAAGAUUUUAGCUAUAGUGAAAUUAGCUUUAGUGAAAAAAAAGUACUUUAAUAAUGAUAUUGCUGCUUGUAUGUCUGCGUCUAGGGCAAUGCCCUAGGACAAGGGUAGAGCAACGCUGGCAUUUGGAGUAAUAUAGUGCUUUUUAUAGUUAUUAAUUAAUACUUAGCAGUGUUUUUAAUAAUAAUGUUAACUAUUUACCAAGUUUAACGGCUUAAUCUUGCUUUACUGUUUGAUUCACAACAAAUCUUACAGUCGCGUAAGCGGGGCAUAGGAUCACAAGACACAUUAAGGAAAGGUCUUGGAUUAUUGGAAAAGCUACGCUAGGGAUGUUUGUCCUUUAAUUUAUUUUUUUGCUUAAUUAGAAUAAUAGUGAAUAUAUAUAUAGCUAUUUAUACGAGCCUUCACCCUAUAUUAAAGUUAUAUUAUUAUUUAAUCUUCUCUUCUUAUCUUACUGCUGUGUAGCGUGCGUGGGGGAUAGUAGUUUCAUAGCGAGACCAACCGCUUGAGAUUUUUAGGGGGGAAUGGUCAUCUAGCUGCCUAAAUAAAUUAUGUGGCUUACCCAUAAUUUGUUCCGGACGACUCUUUUAUAUUUUUUUUUCACUGUUUUGUACUGAUACUGGUGUGCCUCGUUAGUAAAAAAAUAUAAAACUUCCUGAAGGUGUAGGUGUAAAUAGAAAGAUAUAAUAAAUAGGAAUAUAGGUAAGGUAAGAAAAAUUGUAAGCAAGAAAAUUAUUAAUAAUUUAAUUGGGUUAAUUUCAAAAAUUACUUCUCAUCAAGAUUGGCUACUAAUACGGAGGUAUACGAUCCUUAAGGGAUUUUUUUAGGGUCCUUAGAGAUAGAUACUCGCUCUUAAGGGAGUGAUAAUAUAUAUUUUUAUAUAAGUGUUCUUACACGACUUCGUCAUAAAAGCCAAUCUUAGAUACACGUAAAUUUGAAGCGAAAUUUAUCUUAUUUAGUAAAAAUUAAGAUAAAAACGUUCAACGACUAAUAGGUGAGUAAAACUAACAAUAAUUCUUAUCUAGAAACCCAGCACUUUUUAUUAUAUAUAAUUAAAAAUAAGAAAAUUUACUCCUGAAAACCAACUUUUUUGGCGCAGUAGUUUAUUUAGGCUAGUAAGAAGAAUACGUGCGACUACUUGAUAUGGCUAAAUUAGCCUGCGAUGCACACUUUGUAUGCAGCUGUGGGCAAGAGCUAGCAUAUAUUCCAUUACCCUUUCAUAACUAUGUUCGGCAACUUCGGUCGCAAGCAUGCAUACUCCGUCUUCGUGAGCAGCCUAAUUAAUUAUGAAGGAGGGGUGGAGUAGUUUAUCAUGCAUACUUCGUCUUCGUGAGCAGCCUAAUAAAUUAGGGGAUGGCUUCGCAUAACAAGCCCGCCCUGUCAUGAUAAAGAUAAAUUUCUUAACAAAAUUAAUAAAAAUUAUUACUAUAGUGAAGAAUAAAAUGAAAAAAAAUCAAAAUUUAAUCAAAAAAGCUUCUACGCAGUCCAAUUUAAUUAAUUCUUCGAAAGGGGUCGAAGAAUCCACGAUAAAAGAUAUGAUUAUUCCAAAUAUUUUUAAGCAAAACGUGAAAAAUAAUUUGAAAUUAAGACCCUUUAAUGAAAUAAUAAGUGAUGUAGGGGAUAUACAAUAUUUUCCUGCAUGAGCAAAAGAGUGAAGAAAUAGUGUUUAUCAUUAUAAUAGUAAUUUAAUAAAAAAUUUUCCUCUAUACGAUAUCAAUAUUGUUAAAAUAAUAAAAGUUUAUUUUGAUACAUAUUUUAAUCAUAAAUUUCUUAAAUACAAACAUAUUCUUACUAGAAAAAGACGUUUAUCAUUUAAUAAAAUUUUUUUUGCUAGACCGGAAAUUAAACAUACUAAUUCUAAGGCUAUUAUAACUCUCUAUACUUUUAAUAGAGAAAAGAUUGCUUUAUUAAAAAAAAUCAAAAUUUUAAGUAAUUUAACUAAACAGUUACUUUGUUUACUUAAAACACGCGGUCAUUUUAUUUUUAGAAAAAAAAAAAUAUUCAAAAGCAAAACCCGUAGGAAUGGUCGAAUAAAAUUAGAAUUAAGAUGAGGAAAUGUACGUGUGUAUUGCAAGGGAUUUUUAAAAAAAAUAGAAAAAAUUUUUUUUAAAUUUAAUAUGAUAUCCCUCAUAAUGAAAGAUGGAAAUGUACUUAAAGAUUAUUAUGCUUAUUUCUCUGCAUUAAAAACAAGUAAAAUUAAGGCGAAGAAAGAAACAAAUAAAUGGGUAAAAAUCUUACUUAAAAGAGAAUUUCGUCUUCUUCGAAAAUAUAAAUUUAAACUAAAUCUUAAUAAGUAUAAAUUUGAAGAAAAAUUUUUAUAUAGAUUAAGUAAUGUUAUAAGCAAAAUUUAUAAUAAACAAAUAGAAUUUAAUAUUGUGAAUUUGAAAAAUAUAGUAUUUAAUACUGAUUUGUUCACUGAAAUAUCUACAAAAAAAAUUAAAAAGAGAAAUACGAAAGUUCUAAAAAUAAUGAAUAUUAUGUUAAAUAAAGCUAAGUUACCUAGAGUAAAUAGAAUUCAUGAAAAAGGUAGAAUCGUUAAAAAAGUAAAUUUAAAUUUAGUUGAAAAUAAAUAUAGAACUCUUAAUCUGAAAGAUAUAUUAACUAGUAAACUUAAUUUAGAUAAAUUGUUAACUAAAUUAUAUACUAGUGUUGUUAAUGAUGAAUUCUUACCACGAGUUAAGGCCAAUUUGAAUAAUAUCGUAUUUAAUGGUAUUAAAUACAAGAAUAUGGCUGGGAUUAGAAUGGAAGUUAAAGGUAGAUUAACUCCGCGUUAUAGAGCGGAUCGUAGUGUUUAUAGAUUACGUUGGAAAGGAGGUUUAAAAAAUAUCGACUCUUCUUAUAAAGGAUUAUCUAUACGAAAAUAUAGAGGUCACAUUAACCCUAACGUUGGUUAUUCUAUUUUUUCAUCUAAACGAAGAGUUGGUGCUUUUGCUGUGAAAGGAUGGAUGGCCGGUAAGUCUUAUUCUACUAUGGCUUCUAGUUAUAAUACGGUGAAAAAAUCUUUAAAUAAUUUGACUAGGAGAACGACUAUAUCCUAGAACUGUUACUGGGUUUGUUGAUGCUGAAGGUUGCUUUUUAAUUACCUUAGCUAAAAAUAAUUAAAGUAAAAGUGGUUGAGUGGUUAAAUUACGUUUUCAAAUUCAGAGCUUGCGCCUAAAUAAAAAAGAUAUAGCUAUAUUAGAACAAAUAGUAAAUUUUUUUGGUGCGGGUAAAAUUUAUCAACCUAGUGAAAAUUCUAUUCAGAGCUUGCGCCUACAAAUUGAAUCUAUAAAAGAAUUAGAACUUCCCGGAGGGGAGUUCCCCCGAGCUUGCGUCGGGGGAGGGAACUAGUUAUAAAUCAUUUUUAUCAGUAUCCUCCUUUAUUGACUCAAAAAUAUAAGGAUUACUUACUAUUUAAACUUGCUUUUGAUAUAGUUAAAAAUAAAAAUUAUUUAAGGAGGGUUUAAGAAAGAUUUUAUCUUUAAAAGCUUCAUUAAAUUUAGGGUUAUCUGAUAGUUAAAAAAAAGCUUUUCCUGAUAUAAUUCCUUUUAUACUGCGUUUAAUAAGAGCAAAACGAUAGAUCCUUAUUGAUUAGUAAGUUUUACUUCAGGAGAAGGGUGUUUUUUUUUAUUAAUGUGUUGAAGCGGCCUAAUACAAAAUUAGGUGUAUAAAUUCAAUUAGUGUUUUCAAUAACUCAAUAUACUCUCUUUCGGCCCAGGCCUAACGACCUGGUCCUAGGCCGGAGGGGUGAUGAAAUUUUAAUGAAUAGUCUAAUAUCUUAUUUUGGUUGUGGUUAUAUAAAUAAUAAGAAUAAAUCUCAAUUUACUUGAUUGGAUUUUGUUGUUACAAAAUUUUCAGAUAAUUGAUGAGAAGAUUAUUCCGUUUUUUAGUAACUAUAAAUUUUUGGGUGUUAAAUUACAAGAUUUUGAGGAUUGAUGUAAAAUAGCGAAAAUAAGAGCUUGCGCCUAAAUAAAAAUCAUUUAACUACAUAUGGUUUAGAUGAGAUAUAUAAAUUAAAAGCAGGAAUAAAUAAAGGAAGAAAUUUUUAAGGUAGCGCUUAUGAAAUAUGAGUGCACCAAAAAUAUAGAUAGGUUUUCAAGAAAGCAUUGUAGGCGUAAUAUAUAUAAUAAAAAGUGAAUACAUAGUCUGAACCAUUUUGUAAAAAAUGGAAAAUUAAGAUAACAAAUUGAACAGGCUAAUUUGCGCAAGAGUGUACAUAAUGAGUGCGCGGUUUGGCACCUCGAUGUCGGCUUAACUUCUCCUCUGGGAUGCAGGACCUCGGUAGGGUACGACUGUUCGUCGAUUAAAAAGUUACAUGAGCUGGGUUAAAUACGUCGUGAGACAGUAUGGUUUCUAUCUUCUAGAGGGAAUUAGAAUAGAAUAAGGAGUAACCUAGUACGAAAGGAAUGUGGGGAAUUAAGUUAUUCUGGGUAAUACCAGGGUACACUUUAUUAACCUAUGGUUUACCUGUUGUUUAUAUGCCCGAUAUUAAUUAAUGUAUAAGUGUUAGUACGUUUUAUACAGGGAUACUACUUUCACUCAGGUAGAUAAGUGAGUAUAGCAAUACCUGCUAUAUUACAAUAGUAUAGGCACGGCAGGAAAGCUAAGUUAGUCCAAGAUAAGUGCUGAAAGCAUAUAAGCGCGAGGCUUACCUUAAGAUAUUUCUAAAAUAUACGUAAUAUACUAUUACGAAGUAAACGAGAGUUUAUAUUUAUAGGCUUUAUUUGUAAGAAUCCGGAGAUUUUGAGGAAUAGAGUACUAAUUCAAUAAAUCACUACUCUAAAUUAUAUCUAUCUUAUAAUCUAUUGGGCCUGGUUAGCAUAUUUCUUUUACCUUUAAGAGUAAUAGGGAUAUGUGAUCAGCAAAAUAGCUUACUUAUUUAAUAUAGGUAAACACACACACAAGACACCUAAAUCAGCUAGUCCUAAACCAUUCCACCCUAGGAUUUAGGUUUCUUUUUUUUCCUACCCAUUACAGUAGAGGGGAGGCAAUGUAUCACUUGAUAAUAUAGAGCCAGAAGCUUUGUAUUUAUGAACAAUAUAGAUUAUUCUUUAUAAUAAUUAAUAAUUUAAGUUAUUAUUAGUAAUUUUACCAAUAAGAUAUAUUUAUUAGUAAUUAAUUAUAGAUAAUUGAUUAAAGGUUAUUGAUAGUUAAUAGUCGGCGUAACAUACAAACCUUGAAUGUAGUGCUCAAGUUCCCAUAAGACUUAGAGUUAUACUUUUCACUUGCGGCCUAGGUAGGGGGCUAUAUUUGUAAAUAAAUUGAAAUUAAAUAUAAAAAAUGGAAAAAAAAAUUAAUAAAGGUACAUUAGGGUUAUUAUUGAAUAGGUUUUUUAGUAGUAGCAGUAACUUUUUAAAUGAUUGUUUUACACACAAUAGGAUUAAAAGUUUAUAUACUUCAGAUAUAGAAAGUAUUUUGAAAAGCAACCUUUCUUUUUAUGAGAAUAAUCUUCCUUUGUUUUAUCAAUGAUUAUCAGGGUUUAUAGACGGUGAGGGAUCUUUCCAAAUUAAUCCAUUAAAAAAUAAAAAUGGUGCAAUAACUAAAUUUUCUUUCAUGUUUAUUAUAAAUCUACACAUAGAUGAUUUAGAUGUUUUAAAAAAUAUAUCUAAAUUAUUAGGUAUAGGUGUGGUUACAACAGACACCAAAUCUGAUAGAAAUUUAUGUACAUUGAGAGUUAAUAAACAAUCUGAAUUAUUAAAAUUAAUAAGAAUUAUAAUUGAAAAUCCUUUAAAAGGAGUUAAGUUUUUAGAUUUUUCUGAUUUUGUUAAAGCUUAUUAUUUGUACUUUAACAGAGAUAAUGUAGCUAUUACACCCGAAAUAAUUGGUGAAUUAUUAAAGAUUAAAAAGGGUAUGAAUAAACAAAGAACGAGUUUCUUUAAGCCUAUUGUUACUACGGAAGGUGUGUUCAGUACCCAGGAAUUAUGGUUUUCAUCUAAAAUUCAAAUUACAGACCACUGGUUAUUGGGUUUAAUUGAGGGAGAAGGUUCUUUUCAUUUAGUUAGAUCUAGAUUAAUACCAGGUUUUACAAUAAAGAUGGUUUCAGAUCAAGAACCUCUUAUUGUAGCUAUAAAGGAAUAUUUAGUUUAUAGAUUAGGUUUUGACAAAUAUUCUUUAUUUAAAUUAGAGGGUUCUCAGCUAAUAAGUGUUAACUAUGCGAAAUCGGUUUCAGCUAAUUCUAAACCUCAGGUUUUUAUAGGUAUAGAGAAUAAUCGAAUAUUAUAUAAUUAUCUGUUACCAUAUUUAAAAGGUUUACCUUUUUUAACUAAGAAAUUUAAGGAUUAUAAUGAUUUUACACUGAUUUGUCAUACUAUAUAUUAUAAAAUUCAAAAAAAUUCUACAUUUAAAGAUUUAAUACUAAAAUUAAGUAAUAGUAUGAAUAAUUUCAGAUUGUCUAGUUAUAAAGAUAAAACAUGUAGUAUAACUCAAGAAGAAAUAGGAAUGUUAUUAUCCGCGGAUCCUAUUACUAAACCUUUAAUGGAUGGGAGAUUACUUAAUCUUGUAACUAAUAAAUUCGAGAGCGGGUUAGGAGGUUCAGUGUUCGAAAUAGAAGUUAAUAAUGAAGCUUCUAAAGGUAAAUUGGAAACUAUUCUUGUUAAUAGUUUAGAAGAAUGUGCUUCAGUUACAGGGAUUUCAAGAAAUAUCUUGAAUAGUAGGUUUUCGGUAAUUGUUGACUCAAUUUCGGUUUCAGAGAUAGAAAUUGGAAACUACAAAAUAAAAAGAAUAGGUGUGUUUUUAGGAUAGUAAUCCUUAAAUUACUUAUUCAACUUAUUCGGGCGUAAGCUCUUAAUAUGUAAUACUUUGUUAUAGUUUGCUU